UGGUCAAGUUAUUAAGGGUGCAGGGCGGAUGCCUUGGCACUAGGAGCCGAUGAAGGACGUGAUAAGCUGCGAUAAGCUUCGGGGAGUUGCACGUAAACUUUGAUCCGAAGAUUUCCGAAUGAGGAAACUCACUUAGAGUAAUGUCUAAGUAUCAUUAAGUGAAUACAUAGCUUAAUGAGGGGAACUCAGGGAACUGAAACAUCUAAGUACCUGAAGGAAGAGAAAGAAAUUCGAUUCCGUAAGUAGCGGCGAGCGAACGCGGAUUAGCCAAAACCAAUAAAGUUUUCUUUAUUGGGGUUGCGGACAUAUCAUAACGAAGAGGUAUCGUAAUUGAAGAGGUUUGGAAAGACCCACCACAGAAGGUAAUAGUCCUGUAUGUUAAACGAGAAGACUU
rnacentral:rRNA from 1 species